UAGUCCACGCCGUAAACGAUGGGUGCUAGUUGUCGGGACUUUAUGUUUCGGCGGCGAAGCUAACGCGUUAAGCACCCCACCUGGGGAGUACGGUCGCAAGAUUAAAACUCAAAGGAAUUGACGGGGACCCGCACAAGCGGUGGAGCAUGUGGUUUAAUUCGAUGCAACGCGAAGAACCUUACCACUCCUUGACAUCUUGAUCGCGAAUUUCGUAAUGAAAUUCUUCAGUUCGGCUGGAUCAAUGACAGGUGUUGCAUGGCUGUCGUCAGCUCGUGUCGUGAGAUGUUGGGUUAAGUCCCGCAACGAGCGCAACCCUUAUCUUUAGUUACCAGCACGUUAUGGUGGGCACUCUAAAGAGACUGCCGGUGAUAAGCCGGAGGAAGGUGGGGACGACGUCAAGUCAUCAUGGCCCUUAUGGGGUGGGCUACACACGUGCUACAAUGGCAGUGACAGUGGGUUGCUACACAGCGAUGUGAUGCUAAUCUCUAAAAGCUGCCUC
rnacentral:rRNA from 1 species